UGUUGAAAGAGGUACAUUUAGUCAUCGACAUGCAAUUGUUCAUGACCAAGAGUCCGGUGAGAAGUACUGCCCUCUAGAUCAUGUCAUCAGUAACCAAGAUGAGGAGCUGUUUACUGUUAGCAAUAGUUCCCUUUCAGAGUUUGCUGUCCUUGGGUUCGAAUUAGGUUACUCAAUGGAAAAUCCUAAUUCAUUAGUACUCUGGGAAGCUCAGUUCGGUGAUUUUGCAAAUGGUGCUCAAGUUAUUUUUGACAAUUUUAUAAGCAAUGGAGAGGCAAAGUGGCUUCGCCAAGCCGGACUUGUUUGCCUGCUCCCCCACGGUUACGAUGGGCAAGGACCAGAGCACUCGAGUGCUCGAUUGGAG
rnacentral:misc_RNA from 1 species